AAAAAUCUCGCGGCGAAGCAGACGACGGCGAUUCCAUUCGAUGAGUUGGAAGCGGAAUUAGUUAUGAAGUUGGGACUUGCAGAUCCCUCACACGCAGAUUGCAUUUUUGUUCAUCAGAUUCUUCUCCCCAACUUUUCUUUGCUAUUCAAUCCGAGAGGUCACGUUUGAGAAGAAGGCUGUAUGUUCGCGGGGCUGUUGUUCUUCUGCAAGUAUUGCAGCUCGUCACGGAGGGAUGUUCAAUACCUGGUUGUCCGAUUCGAUACUGCAUUCGAAUUUUCUCUGGUUUGUGAAUGCGUCGUCGCGUGGAUGUUUUAGUUGCAAGUUUUAGGGCUAAAGGCUGGGUUUCUUGAGUGGGGUUUCAGGAAUUGAGCAAGGGCAGUUCUGUGAGGAGGACUCUGGUGUGGGUUUUAGGAGAUCGGUGUGUUUGGGGAGGUUUUUUUUGGAUGAGAUUGCGUCGGGGGGAGAGGUGUUCAUGGUAGGGUACGCCUCAGCUGAGAAGAAGGUGAAAGGCUUUUAGCAACCGUCACUAGUCGAGCACACAAAGAGCAUGGGUUUCAACUUUGCUCAUCAACAUGACGAAGCCCUUGGGAGAUCAGAGCCCUUUUAACGCAAUCAUCCA